AUAUCUUCGAGUUCCUGAUGAGGUAAUUACAGUGAACAAAUAGUUCUCUUUCCCAUUGUAAAGCUACAUUAAAUUAAUCCGUUCAUAAUUUUCCCCCAUGAUGGUUUAACUCGUUUUGCUAGUCUGUGACAAUUUGUACUGAGUUCUUUAUGCUGUAUGAAAAGAACUAAGUUCGCUUUUAUAGUGCUGGAACAAUGUGUCUUUUGUCUGAAGGUAGUUGAUUUUGAUUGAUUUCUAAUUCCAUUCUCCAAUUGCUGACCCAAAAAGUAAAAAGAAACAUAUGAAUGUUUUCUGCCCAAGAUGAUGAUUUGGAGUCAGCAUCAGAUGUAACCCACAAAUUUGCAAAAUUAGUUGAAGUGGUAUCUGUGCAUCAUCAGAGCACAUGCAAGAUUUCUGUGAUAUUACUUAUCUUCGGCAUCAUAGUACCCAGUAAUAUGGUUAUUAAAUAAAUUAUUCUAGGAGAUUUUGAUAGUACUCUUUACAAACUUUAUUGCAAACGUUUCUGAUUGCUAAGUGGUCAGUGUGCCCUUUCAUGUUUAAGUGGCUUGUUUUGCUCAUUCAAUGCUGUAACUUUCAAUGUUUCA
rnacentral:misc_RNA from 1 species